rnacentral:rRNA from 1 species
UAAUUAUUAGUUUUUUAAUUGAAAGCUUGUAUGAAGGGUUGGACGAGAUAAAAUCUGUCUUUAUUUAAAUUAAAAUAGAAUUUAACUUUUAAGUCAAAAGGCUUAAAUAUUAGUAAAAGACGAGAAGACCCUAUAGAUCUUUAUUUGAUUAAUAUUUUAAUAAUUUAGGGAUAGUUUAAUUUAAAGUUUUAAUCAAAUUUUAUUGGGGUAAUAUAAAGAUUAAACAAAUUCUUUUUAUUUAUAACAUUGAUUUAUGAAUAAAUGAUCCAAUACUAUUGAUUAUAAGAUUAAGUUACCUUAGGGAUAACAGCGUAAUUUUUUUGGAGAGCUCAUAUCGAUAAGAAAGUUUGCGACCUCGAUGUUGGAUUAAAAAUUAGCUUGGGUGCAGAAGCUCAAGAGUUUGGUCUGUUCGACCAUUAAAUUUUUACAUGAUCUGAGUUCAGACCGGCGUAAGCCAGGUCGGUUUCUAUCUUUACUUAAAUAAAAUAUUUUAGUACGAAAGGACCAAAUAUUUAGUAUAAUCAUAUUUAUUUUUUGAAUAAUAUUAUUACUUUGGCAGAUUAGUGCAAUGAAUUUAGAAUUCAUAAAUGUAAUUAUAUUACAAGUAAUACUUGUAUUUGGGAGA